GAAAGACCUGAAAUGACACGCAUGCUCUUGCCCUCUUGACAUGUGAUGUCCUUUGCCAUGUUAUGAUGCUGACAGAAGCCCCUCAUCAGAUGCUGGUGCCAUUCUCUUGGGCUUCCGAGCCUCCAGAACUCCCCAGAACUUGCCAGUCAAGAUGAAAAACUUCUUCUAAUGGAAUCCAGCUUGAAAGCUACUCAAGAGCAGCUAACUGAGCAAAUAGCAGAAACAGUUCGCCAAGAACAGAACAGUAGAAAACCCCAGGCAGAGCUGAAGACAGUGACAGAAGGGAUUAUUGCUUCUGAAGAAGAAAAAAAAUGAUUACAAAAUCACCUAUUUUACCGUCUUUUACAACUUCGUUGUAGGAGGUGUGAAAGAGGAGGGAAAUUGUGUUGGAAGAGGAGAUUAGGACAUCAAGAGACACCAAGAGUAACCAUGUACAGAGAAAAACAUCAUAUGAAGACACAGCAAGAAGGUGGCCAUCUGUAAGCCAAAGAGAGGCCUCAGAAGAAACCAAAUCUGCUAACACAAUCAUGGACUUUCAGCCUCCAGGACUGUGUGAAAAUAAAUUUCUGCUGUUUAAGCCACCCCAGUGUCUGGAAUUCUAUGGCAGCCCUAGCAAAUAAAUACAACUACUAUCAGUAUUAUUUGUCUUUUUAUAUUACUCUACAGUGUCAAGCCAAAUUUAAUUUUUAAAAUAAUGAUAUCUCAUAUCCACUUAAGCUAAAUAGGGCCCAGGAUUUCAUUCUUGGGUAUAUAUCUAAGAAAAAUGUAUGCUGAUAUUCACUAUAAAUAUAUUCAUA
rnacentral:lncRNA from 1 species